UUCAGAAUAAUCAUUUGACGGCUGGAUUCUGUAAGAAGUGGACGCAAGAUAGGUGUGGUGAAGUCGCAAGGCCAAACAUUUCUUUCAGUCCGGAACCAAAUAUGUCUUGUCUGUCAAAGAUUCAACUCCCUACCUCUAAUGGUCUAGGAAGAGACAGAGGGAAUCACUAACGCACAGACCCACGGACGGGCAGAAGAACAUGAUCCUCGACUUGUGUCUCAAAAGGGGAUAAAGAUGCAAAGCUCCUUUGCAGUGAUGCUGUACAAUGCACAUGCGACUGAUAGAAACUUGUCCAGCCUUCUGUCCCUGUUUGGAACCGGACACGCACGCAUGCACUCACACGCACGCAAGCUAUAUAGUGAAAAUAGCGUAUGCUUUUACUGUGAUUUGUAAACCAUUUUAACUUAUAAGCCUACAUAUUUUCAUAUAUUAAAAUGGUGCUUAGAAUCACCGUGUUCUUUUCGUGUCAAUUUUACCCUGAAAACACUUUUGUUUUAAAAUUAUACCCAAAAUAUUGACAGUGACCUUUUUUUCCAAAUUAUACCCAAGAGCGAGCUAGGAUGCAUCUGUUUCUGCCAGAUUUUGUUAUGUACAUGUGUAAUGAUUUAGAUCCAAGUGUUAGAAAUAUAAUAAUGUAAUGUUCAAAGUGUGAGCACAUCCCAACUUUCAAACUGCAUCGUAAGAUGAAACUUGUAAGCUUGUCGGGUUUGUAAAUCAUAUUGAUUACUACCGCAUCAGUUGAUAUUGUUCUUUACAUUGUAGAAGUUACUUUAUUUAUCUAUUUAUUUUUGUUGUUAUUUCUAUAUGUUAUUUGACAGUCAUGAAUGACAUACAGUUUUGUCUGAAUAAAUGUGCUUUCCAAGGGGAGUUUUCAAUUUCAUAAAAGUAAUAAUAUUAUUAAUAUCAAUGUUUCCUGAAUUUUCAGAACCUAUAGGCCUAAUCUGUAAAAUCCUAUCAUUUCAAAUGUGUUUUAUCCUUUUCUUAAUUAAAAUAGAUAUUAGCUAUAACAUUUUGCAAAUAAAAAGAAG